CCUACGGGAGGCAGCAGUGGGGAAUCUUGCGCAAUGGGCGAAAGCCUGACGCAGCGACGCCGCGUGAGGGAAGAAGGCCUUCGGGUUGUAAACCUCUUUCAGGAGGGACGAAGCCACUCGGGUUAAUAGCCCAGAGGGUGACGGUACCUCAGGAGGAAGCCCCGGCUAACUACGUG
rnacentral:rRNA from 1 species